GACUGCUGCGGUGGUCUGUUGGUUAGAGCGUCCGCCUUGGAUGCAGGAUGUUGCGAGUUCGAACCUCGGCUGAGUCA